CCUACGGGAGGCAGCAGUGAGGAAUAUUGGUCAAUGGGCGCGAGCCUGAACCAGCCAAGUAGCGUGAAGGAUGACUGCCCUACGGGUUGUAAACUUCUUUUAUAAAGGAAUAAAGUGAGGCACGUGUGCCUUUUUGUAUGUACUUUAUGAAUAAGGAUCGGCUAACUCCGUGCCAGCAGCCGCGGUAAUACGGAGGAUUCGAGCGUUAUCCGGAUUUAUUGGGUUUAAAGGGAGCGUAGGUGGGUUGUUAAGUCAGUUGUGAAAGUUUGCGGCUCAACCGUAAAAUUGCAAUUGAUACUGGCAGGCUAGAGUGCAGUUGCGGUAGGCGGAAUUCGUGGUGUAGCGGUGAAAUGCUUAGAGAUCACAAAGAACACCGAUUGCGAAGGCAGCUUACUAAGCUGCCACUGACGUUGAUGCUCGAAAGUGUGGGGAGCAAACAGGAUUAGAUACCCCUGUAGUC
rnacentral:rRNA from 1 species